rnacentral:rRNA from 1 species
AUACGGAGGGUGCGAGCGUUAAUAGGAAUUACUGGGCGUAAAGCGCACGUAGGCGGCUGGGUAAGUCGGAUGUGAAAGCCCCGGGCUCAACCCAGGAACUGCAUUCGAUACUGCCUGACUAGAGUAUGGUAGAGGGAAGUGGAAUUUCCGGUGUAGCGGUGAAAUGCGUAGAUAUCGGAAGGAACACCAGUGGCGAAGGCGACUUCCUGGGCCAAUACUGACGCUGGGGUGCGAAAGCGUGGGGAGCAAACAGGAUUAGAAACCCCGGUAGUCC